rnacentral:tRNA from 1 species
GAGGGCACAGCUCAAUGGUAGAGCACAUGCUUAGCAUGCACGAGGUCCUGGGUUCAAUCCCCAGUACCUCCA